UCUACAAAAUUUGUACUUAUCAGUGUGUCAAAAACAAUCAUUCAUUAUACCAGACCAUACAAGGUACCAAAUAGUUCAUACUCCUUUAUUUUGCAUACAGCAUUGUGAGACCAAAGGAAACAGUAUUGUAAAAGUUUAAUCCCUUUACAUAUUACACACCCAGCAUGUACCAUGGUGAUGGAUGCACAGUCACCAUCAUCAUCAUCAUCAAAGCCGAAACUUCAGGAACUAAAAAUACAAGCAAUUCCAGUUGGAUGCAGAAGACCAUGAAGGAAAAAGGGCACCUGAACGGACUGCAAAAACCUCUUAGAAGUCUCUAGGCAGUAGUCCUUAAGUCAUCACUGAGCCCACAAACUGAUGCUUGCAAAUACAAGUCAGCCUUUCGACAAAAACCCCCAAAAAAUAAAUAUGCAAAAGUGUUGGACCUUUGAGAGUGACUCAAGUCACAUACAGAUGGUAUAUUAUAGAUGCCAAAUACCCUCACAAGAUCCUUGGUCCCAUGAUGCAGCAUGCAUCUUGCUCGCUGAUCUCAGCAUACGUCAAAGCCUGCUGUAAGAAAGGAAGCAGCAGACCAGCUUCAUCUUUAUCCCAUUAUUUUUCACAUUAUAAUGUGCACCCCUUAUGUAACCAACUAGCAACACUAAAUGGGAGCAAUGAUGCAAUUCCUAGGUCUUGCACAAAUGCACAUGCAGGAAAAGGAAUGAGAUUGUUUGUUUAAGGUAUGUAAGAAGUGACACAGAAGACACAGGUCUCCCACCUUAGCUGGUUUUGUAAGAACAUGAUGUGAAUAAAUCAAAUUAUUGCAAUUUUGCAAGAGCAGAAGCCCACAAAUUAACAAGAGAGGAGACAGGAGAAGAGGAGAUGAAAUUGAAGAGGAAGAGACAUAUGCAGAGGGAAGAGAAGAAAGAAACUACCUGCCAUUGACAACCAAAUAAUUGAGAAAAAUGUAAAAUAUAAAAUUGUGGUUUCUGGAAGCAGAGAAACAGUACUUUUAGACAUGUGAAAAAUACUAAUCUAAAUAAAAAAGUAGAAGUGGGACUGAGUUCAAGGGGUUGAAGUCCAUAGUCAGAGUUGGAUAAUCUCACAAUAAACAGUACAUUUUUUUCUGUCUGGCUUUUUCUCAACUCAGAUUCUUAAAAUGUUUUUGUAAGUACUUCUAAAAUGAUUUUACUUUUCCUCUUCACAUUAGAUAUGAAAAAAUAUGAAAAUUUCUGUCUUAAUUUACUUACUAGGUUCCGACUUAGAAUUCUAUACACAGUGAGAAAUUUGUUUAAUAAGUUACCAGAGUUUUUUUUCUGCAAAAACAUUUAAAUGUCUCUUUUUUUCUUUUAUUUUUCUCUUUUUUUUUCUCUAAACCAUAUAGAGUCAUAAAAUCAGUGAAGCUGGAAAAGACCACUUUAGUCAUUGAGUCCAGCCAUUAACCUGGGACUGUCAUGCUCACCUUUAAAUCAUGUUUCCAAGUGUCAUAUCUACAUGUUUUUUCAAUAGUUUCAAUACAGUGAUUGCAUCACUGCCCUAUUCUAAUGCCUGACCAUCUUUUCAUUGAAGAUAUUUUUCCAAAGAUCCAACCUAAAUCUUCCCUGGCUCAUUGUGAGGCCAUUUUUUCUUGUUCUGCCACCAUCUGCUGGGGGGAAGAGACUGAUCCCCAUUUCUCCACAACCUCCUUUCAGGCUGGAGGGGAGCAGAGAGCAGUAAGGUCUCGCCUGAGCCUCCUUCUCCAGGCUAAACACCUCCAGCUCUCUCACCUGCUCUUCAUGACUUGUGCUCCUGACCCUGCCCCAGCUCUCUUGCCCUUCUCUAGACACGCUCCAGCCCCUCAAUGUCUUGGAAUGAAGGGCCCAGAAGUGGACACCGAGGUGUGGUGUCCCCAGUGCAGGGGGACAGUCACUGCCCUGCUCCUGCUGGCCACACUAUUGCUGGUACAGGCCAGGGUGCCACUGAGCUAAAGUGUGUGAGAUGUUUAUUCUCUUUCCCUGCCUCCUUGAUCCUGCCAGUUGCAUUCUUCUCACUUUAGUCACCGGUUUUGCUUCAUGAGUAUUAGACUGCCUCAUUAGUUAUGACUCAUCAGAAAGGUGUAAUCAUACCAAUUCCUGCUCAAUGUCAUUUGUUCUCACUUAAAUGCCAAGUUUUUGCCUGUUGCUGAGAUAUCAAAUGUGUUUUCUUCUCUGGAUAUUUCAGUAAAAUUUGAAACUGCCUUUUCUUAGUUCUGUCAAGAGGAAGGAUCAAGGUUGUUGGUUUGUUUUGCUUUACCAUUAAAUUCUUCAUGCAAUUUCUAA